rnacentral:lncRNA from 1 species
AGAACAUAUAAAUUACAUACGGAAAUCGGCUGGCGUUAAACACAUUGGCAUUGGAUCCACAGAUGAUCCAGCUCGCUACGCGCUGCUGGUCGCAGAGCUCAUGAAAGACCCGAGCUGGACGAGUUCUGACCUGCACCAGCUGCUGGGUGGUAACCUGCUACGGGUGCUGGAUGCUGUACACCAGGUCAGAGACGAGAUGGCGAGCAACGAGCCUUCAGAGGAACUAAUCCCCAUCCACGAUAUCAACGAUCGCUGGCCUUGCCGCUAUAAAUUCGGCAGUCUGCCCUCCAGAUAGCAAAGCUCUUGAAUCCCAUGGAAAAAAUAAAUGAUUCUAUGAUACUUGUACUGGAUUCAAAGCUACAACAUGGAAUUUAUCAUCACAUAUAGUUUUUGUAUAAAGUUAUAUAAAUAAAAUAAUUAUAUAAAAUCGUCAUCGGUAUAUAAUGGCGUAUGAAGAUUAGUAAAGAGAAAUAUUUUUUGUGGUAACUUCGAAGGAACGAAUCGAAAUUCCUCUCCCAUAACGAAGAAAAAAUUGUCAGGCUUCUUCCAAAGUCGGAGUCAGACUUUCUUUCAUCUCCUUGUAACAAAAUAAAAUGAAGCGAGACAUUUUUGUUUUGAACUAGUCUUUGAAUUUAAAGCUUCCUUGUAAUAGAAUUCGGAAAAAUGUUAUUGACCAUUGUGUCGGUGAUAUUGUACUGUAUUAAGAAGUUAAAUUUCAAGUUUAAAAUGAUACUUUAUUUAGAUUGAUUUUUUAGCAAACUUGUAAGAGUUUGACUCUCCUUUGGUUGACAUAUAACCAUAAAUUUCAAAGAAAAAUAAUUGUAUUAGUGGUACCGUAGAGCGACUGAAGAU